rnacentral:rRNA from 1 species
UACGUAGGUGGUGAGCGUUAUCCGGAAUUAUUGGGCGUAAAGAGCGCGCAGGUGGUUGAUUAAGUCUGAUGUGAAAGCCCACGGCUUAACCGUGGAGGGUCAUUGGAAACUGGUCGACUUGAGUGCAGAAGAGGGAAGUGGAAUUCCAUGUGUAGCGGUGAAAUGCGUAGAGAUAUGGAGGAACACCAGUGGCGAAGGCGGCUUCCUGGUCUGUAACUGACACUGAGGUGCGAAAGCGUGGGGAGCAAACAGGAUUAGAUA